GGAGCGAACUGCUCAGUAACACGUAGCUAAUCUAACCUUAGGUCGAGGAUAUUGUCGGGAAACUGACUUGAAUACUUGAUAGAAAACUUACCCUGGAAUGAUUUGUUUUUGAACUAAGGAUGAGGCUGCGGCGGAUUAGGUAGUUGGCGGGGUAAUAGCCCACCAAGCCAUUGAUCCGUAAGGGCUCUUAGCGGAGAGGCCCUGAGAGGGAAUCUGAGACACUAUUCCCAGCCCUACGGGGUGCAGCAGUUAGGAAUAAUCUACAAUGCGCGCAAGCGUGAUAGUUUGAGCCAGAGUGUUUAUCUAUUGAUAAGCUUUUGUGGAAUGUAAAAAGUUCCACGAAUAAGGACUGGGUAAGACUAGUGCCAGCCGCCACGGUAAUACUAGCGGUCCAAGUCGCAGCCAUUUUUAUUGGGUCUAAAACAUCCGUAGCUUGCUUGAUAAGUUUCUUGUGAAAUUUUAUGUCUUAAGCAUAGAGCGUGCAAGAAGUACUGUCAAGCUAGAGACUGGGGGACGUAAGAAGUACGUUCAAAGUAGUAGUAAAAUGCUUUAAUCUUGGACGGACUCACAAUAGCGAAGGCAUCUUACGAGAACAGUUCCGACAGUCAGGGAUGAAGGCUAGGGGCGCAAAACAGAUUAGAUACCUGUGUAGUCCUAGCAGUAAACACUGCACACUAAACAUCGGAGUCUCCUCGAGAGGCGUCGGUGCUGCAGGGAAGCCGAAGAGUGUGCUACCUGGGAAGUAUAGUCGCAAGGCCGAAACUUAAAGGAAUUGGCGGGGAGGCACUACAACGGGUGACGCGUGCGGUUCAAUUGGAUUAUACACCGGGAAUCUCACCAGGAGCGACUGCAGGAUGAAGGUCAGUCUGAAGGGCUUACCUGACACGCAGAGCGGGUGUGUAUGGCCGACUUAAGCCUGUGCUGUGAGGUGACCUGUUAAAUCAGGUAACAGGCAAGACCCACAUCUCUAUUUACUACGUGUACAAUAGAGAGAUUGCCUUGGAAACGAGGAUGAAAGCGUGGGCUAUGUCAGGUAUGUAAACACUUAAUCCCCUGGGCUACACGCGCGCGUCAAUGGUGGAUACAAUUGGAUGCGACACAGAAAUGUGAAGCUAAUCCCCUAAAGUUCAUCUCAGUCUAGAUUGAGGUUUGCAACCCAGCCUCAUGACACUGGAAUCCGUAGUAAUCGGGUGUUAUCAGCGCCCGGUGAAUAUGUCACUGUCUCUUGCACACACUGCCCGUCAAACCAACCGAGUUUAGUUAUGAUGAAACGUUUCGAUGGAGAAUUUUGGCUAGACAAGGUAGGUUAAGUCGUCACAAGGUA
rnacentral:rRNA from 1 species